rnacentral:rRNA from 1 species
UCUAUGGGUGGCGAGUGGCGGACGGGUGAGUAAUGCAUCGGGAUCUACCCAAACGUGGGGGAUAACGUAGGGAAACUUACGCUAAUACCGCAUACGUCCUAUGGGAGAAAGCGGGGGAUCGCAAGACCUCGCGCGGUUGGACGAACCGAUGUGCGAUUAGCUAGUUGGUAGGGUAAUGGCCUACCAAGGCGACGAUCGCUAGCUGGUCUGAGAGGAUGAUCAGCCACACUGGAACUGAGACACGGUCCAGACUCCUACGGGAGGCAGCAGUGGGGAAUAUUGGACAAUGGGCGCAAGCCUGAUCCAGCAAUGCCGCGUGUGUGAAGAAGGCCUUCGGGUUGUAAAGCACUUUUAUCAGGAGCGAAAUGCCAUUGGUUAAUACCCGGUGGAGCUGACGGUA